GACAGAGGGUGCAAACGUUGUUCGGAAUUACUGGGCGUAAAGCGCGUGUAGGCGGCUUGGCAAGUCGGGUGUGAAAGCCCUGGGCUCAACCCAGGAAGUGCACUCGAAACUGCUUCGCUCGAGUAUCGGAGAGGAAAGCGGAAUUCUCGGUGUAGAGGUGAAAUUCGUAGAUAUCGAGAGGAACACCGGUGGCGAAGGCGGCUUACUGGA
rnacentral:rRNA from 1 species